rnacentral:rRNA from 1 species
ACKGCUCAGUAACACGUGGAUAACCUACCCUUAGGACGGGGAUAAACCCGGGAAACUGGGUAUAAUACCCGAUAGUCCUCGGCUGCUGGAAUGCACCGAGAACGAAAGCUCCGGCGCCUAAGGAUGGAUCUGCGGCCUAUCAGGUAGUAGUGGGUGUAGCGUACCUACUAGCCUACGACGGGUACGGGUUGUGAGAGCAAGAGCCCGGAGAUGGAUUCUGAGACACGAACCCAGGCCCUACGGGGUGCAGCAGGCGCGAAAACUUUACAAUGCCGGCAACGGCGAUAAGGGGACCUCGAGUGCCAGGUUACAAAUCUGGCUGUCGUGAUGCCUAAAAAGCAUUGCAUAGCAAGGGCCGGGCAAGACCGGUGCCAGCCGCCGCGGUAACACCGGCGGCUCGAGUGGUAACCGUUAUUAUUGGGUCUAAAGGGUCUGUAGCCGGCCGGAUAAGUCUCUUGAGAAAUCCAGCAGCUCAACUGUUGGGCUUUCAGGGGAUACUGUCUGGCUCGAGGCCGGGAGAGGUGAGAGGUACUUCAGGGGUAGGGGUGAAAUCUUGUAAUCCUUGAAGGACCACCAGUGGCGAAGGCGUCUCACCAGAACGGACCUGACGGCAAGGGACGAAAGCUAGGGGCACGAACCGGAUUAGAUACCCGGGUAGUCCCAGCUGUAAACGAUGCAGGCUAGGUGUUUGGGCGGCCACGUGCCGCUCUAGUGCCGCAGGGAAGCUGUUAAGCCUGCCGCCUGGGGAGUACGGCCGCAAGGCUGAAACUUAAAGGAAUUGGCGGGGGAGCAC